GUGAGAAUAACUAGAACCUUUCAUGUUUAUGUGUUUAAUGUUUACUAUCUACUGAAAUGUUUAUACACUCACAUAAUCCCAUGAAUAUAAAAUUUCACAUAAGGCAGAUACACAAGACCAUAUUUGGCAGGAGGAGAUCAAGGAGUUGUGUUUUUGGUCAUUUUAUGUAAAUCACAUAUUUGCAACACACCAAGAGCUAUAGGUCACAACUAUACACUACAAAAUCACUGAGCUAAUCCAUCCUAAGUCUGAUAUUAUGCUCUAUUCCACAUUCCACCUUUCACCUUUUCUUGCUAUAAGCUUUAAUCAAGCUGGUGUAAUGGCUCUUUUUAGUCACUUUGCAAGCAAAAAUCUGGUACAGGUUCUGCGACACUAUACGUUGAGAGAAAAUAGAAGAAAUAUGUAGACUUGUAGAAAUGGAGGUUAACAUGUGAGUGGAGAUCAGAAAGGAGACAGCUUCUCAAAGGUUGUUGAGCUCUUGCCUGAUAUCAACACUCUAAUGAUUUAUCAGAUUGACAUUUCUGCUCCUGCAUAGUACCUGCAGCAUUUGAGAUGAUCACAAUCGUGAUUUAUCAAGACAUUACAGGCCCCACGCAGGUGAAGAAGCUCCG